rnacentral:rRNA from 1 species
UCGAGCGAAUGGAUUAAGAGCUUGCUCUUAUGAAGUUAGCGGCGGACGGGUGAGUAACACGUGGGUAACCUGCCCAUAAGACUGGGAUAACUCCGGGAAACCGGGGCUAAUACCGGAUAACAUUUUGAACCGCAUGGUUCGAAAUUGAAAGGCGGCUUCGGCUGUCACUUAUGGAUGGACCCGCGUCGCAUUAGCUAGUUGGUGAGGUAACGGCUCACCAAGGCAACGAUGCGUAGCCGACCUGAGAGGGUGAUCGGCCACACUGGGACUGAGACACGGCCCAGACUCCUACGGGAGGCAGCAGUAGGGAAUCUUCCGCAAUGGACGAAAGUCUGACGGAGCAACGCCGCGUGAGUGAUGAAGGCUUUCGGGUCGUAAAACUCUGUUGUUAGGGAAGAACAAGUGCUAGUUGAAUAAGCUGGCACCUUGACGGUACCUAACCAGAAAGCCACGGCUAACUACGUGCCAGCAGCCGCGGUAAUACGUAGGUGGCAAGCGUUAUCCGGAAUUAUUGGGCGUAAAGCGCGCGCAGGUGGUUUCUUAAGUCUGAUGUGAAAGCCCACGGCUCAACCGUGGAGGGUCAUUGGAAACUGGGAGACUUGNNUNNNNNAGNGGAAAGUGGAAUUCCAUGUGUNGCGGUGAAAUGC